rnacentral:tRNA from 1 species
CGGGUGUAGUUCAAUGGUAGAAUUCCAGCCUUCCAAGCUGAUUACGUGGGUUCGAUUCCCACUACCC